GGGACUGUGGCUCAGUGGUAGAGCACUUGCCUGGCAUGUGUGAGGCACUGGGUUCAAUUCUCAGCACCA
rnacentral:tRNA from 1 species